AAACACUCAAAUAAUCACCUGACCAGGCAGUCCAGAAACCCCUCUCUGGAGAGACCAUCACUCCUCUUCCUGGUCCAGUCCAGUGUGAAGAUAACCCCUCAGGUGAUACUGGAGAGGUGUUGUCAUGGAAAUAUUCAGUCAAUAAUAUUUCUCAAAUACCGGAGCCUUUACCUGAACAUGGUGACGACGUCAAGUCUGUGGGACCCGCACCCUCUCAACCCUCUACCUUGGGUCUGAAUGGUGACAGAAACAUGCCGGUGGUCCGGGGACUGGGCUCAGCUGACCCGGAAGAGGUGAAGAGGCUGAAGGACAUCACCUUCGUCAUCUGUAAUCGAUAGCUGCUUCUAUGAUUAGAGUAUCUAACAAAUUGCAUUUUUUUACCACCUGAUGGGACUCAAGGCCUUUAACCUAUUUAAUCCCAUUGGUCACAAUAGUGACCGUAAAAAACGUUUUCAGUUAUAAGGCUCUAAAACUUUUACUGAAUGAUGUAUCAAUGCAUUUCCAGCAAAUAUUGGAAUAAUAAAGGGUCUCAAUGAAAGAUGUGCAGUGUCACAUGUUUAGUGUAAAUUGUCACAUGACCAGAGCUGUUUAAUUCCUGGUAGCACCAUGAGAAGAGGAUGGCUGCAUCAAAGCUCCCAAACAAAAGUUUCACUUUGAGUCAAGAUCUGGAUAUGUUGGAUCUAGGUGACUGCCCAGACAAGGCAUGCAACAUUGCAGUUAUCCCUCAAAAUGAGAAAGAUGCUGUCCUGAGUGAUUGUGAUAGCGAUGGGUCAGAUAUGGACUACGGACAGGCCAUUUGCCAGCCAGGCUGUUGAAUGCAUAUGCUGAACCUAUGCAA